rnacentral:rRNA from 1 species
GCGGUGGAGUAUGUGGUUUAAUUCGAUGCAACGCGAAAACCUUACCUGUCCCUUGACAUCCUCGGAACUUGUCAGAGAUGACUUGGUGCCUUCGGGAACCGAGAGACAGGUGCUGCACGGCUGUCGUCAGCUCGUGUCGUGAGAUGUUGGGUUAAGUCCCGCAACGAGCGCAACCCUUGUCAUUAGUUGCUACAUUCAGUUGGGCACUCUAAUGAGACUGCCGGUGACAAGCCGGAGGAAGGUGGGGAUGACGUCAAGUCCUCAUGGCCCUUAUAGGUGGGGCUACACACGUCAUACAAUGGCUGGUACAAAGGGUUGCCAACCCGCGAGGGGGAGCCAAUCCCAUAAAGCCAGUCGUAGUCCGGAUCGUAGUCUGCAACUCGACUACGUGAAGUCGGAAUCGCUAGUAAUCGUGGAUCAGAAUGUCACGGUGAAUACGUUCCCGGGUCUU